rnacentral:rRNA from 1 species
GACGAACGCUGGCGGCGUGCCUAACACAUGCAAGUCGAACGGAGAUAUUAAUGAAGCUUGCGAUUUGAUAUCUUAGUGGCGGACGGGUGAGUAACGCGUGGGUAAUCUACCUAUCAGUGGGGGACAACAGUUGGAAACGACUGCUAAUACCGCAUAUCUUAAGCAAUUAAGAAAGAUGGCCUCUGAACAUGCUGUCGCUGAUAGAUGAGCCCGCGUCUGAUUAGCUAGUUGGUGGGGUAAAGGACUACCAAGUCGACGAUCAGUAGCCGGCCUGAGAGGGGGAACGGCCACACGGGGACUGAGACACGGCCAAGACUCCUACGGGAGGAAGCAGUGGGGAAUAUUGCGCAAUGGGGGAAACCCUGACGCAGCGACGCCGCGUGAGCGAAGAAGGCCUUAGGGUUGUAAAACUCUGUUUUAAGGGACGAAUGUUAUGGGGAGUAAUAUGCCCUGUAAAUGACGGUACCUUAAGAGGAAGCCCCGGCUAACUACGUGCCAGCAGCCGCCGUAAAAC